AACGAACGCUGGCGGCAUGCCUAACACAUGCAAGUCGAACGAUUGCCUUCGGGUGAUAGUGGCUCACGGGUGCGUAACGCGUGGGAAUCUGCCCUUAGGUUCGGAAUAACAGCUGGAAACGGCUGCUAAUACCGGAUGAUAUCGCGAGAUCAAAGAUUUAUCGCCUGAGGAUGAGCCCGCGUUGGAUUAGGUAGUUGGUGGGGUAAAGGCCUACCAAGCCGACGAUCCAUAGCUGGUCUGAGAGGAUGAUCAGCCACACUGGGACUGAGACACGGCCCAGACUCCUACGGAAGGCAGCAGUGGGGAAUAUUGGACAAUGGGCGCAAGCCUGAUCCAGCAAUGCCGCGUGAGUGAUGAAGGCCCUAGGGUUGUAAAGCUCUUUUACCCGGGAAGAUAAUGACUGUACCGGGAGAAUAAGCCCCGGCUAACUCCGUG
rnacentral:rRNA from 1 species